AUUCCAGUUGCUCAUCCAGUUGCUUCUGGGCUCGUUAAGGGACUGCAAAACACGCAGGUGAUUUUGGGGAACAUCUUAAUAUUGUGUACAUGGUGCAGAACAUAGCAUAAUGUACAGAAAGCCCUCAGAGGGAAAUAUAAACCUCCAUUGGCAGACUCCAGUUCUUCAGGAAAACAAUGUGUAGAACUGGUGAGCUUCCUGGUAACUAUUUUCUGCAGCUCUGGGCAUGUUUGCUUCCUAAGACUCUGCAGGAGAGAGCGGAGGAGGCUAUGAGAUCCAAAGCUCAUGGUGGCUCAAGGUGUUCAACUGGAUCCAUAACAAGAAGAACACAUCAGUUACACAACACCCUACUUAUGGAAAAGACUCAAAAAUACCAACAAAAAGAGGGCUGGGGCAACAUCAUGAAAUUCAAGUCUUUAACGAGCCACCAUUCAAGAUAUUUAGAAGUGUUCUUCCUUUUCACAGUAUUCUAAAUAAUGUUACUGCUGCUGUUCUAUUGGGAUUCUUCAAUGCAAGGUAAAGUAGUGUUAAAGGCUUCCCUAAAAUAUACCAUGGUUCCCCCAAAAAGCCAUAAAGGUAAUUUUUCAGCAAUCACAGGAAGGGCUGUCUGAUUUGGCAGCAGAGGUCAGGGGUCAUUUCUAUUUGGCAGAGAGGGGAUGGACAGAUGAAAGCACCCUAUACAGAGAAAAUUUUAAGUGAGAAAAACAGAAACUUCUAAUGCUUCUCUCAGAAAGGAGCUGACAAAAGUGAGGGCUGCAGAAAGAGCUCACUCUUAAGGAAUAUUGGGGGUGACACUGGAGGGGGGUCCUUUGCCCUCUUAGUCACUGACAGUUGGAGACUGACAGCUAUAGCAUGUGUGUUCUUUCUGUGCAAGUUUGCAUUUGAUUUGUUCUCAUUCAUUCAGUGAAGUAUCCUGAAAAGCAAUGGGAUAACAUAUUAUAGGAUAAU
rnacentral:lncRNA from 1 species